GGGGCCUUAGCUCAGCUGGAGAGCGCCUGCUUUGCAAGCAGGAGGUCAUCGGUUCGAUCCCGAUAGGCUCCACCA
rnacentral:tRNA from 1 species